ACCGGCUAACUCCGUGCCAGCAGCCGCGGUAAUACGGAGGGUGCGAGCGUUAAUCGGAAUUACUGGGCGUAAAGCGCAUGCAGGUGGUUUGUUAAGUCAGAUGUGAAAGCCCGGGGCUCAACCUCGGAAUUGCAUUUGAAACUGGCAGACUAGAGUACUGUAGAGGGGGGUAGAAUUUCAGGUGUAGCGGUGAAAUGCGUAGAGAUCUGAAGGAAUACCGGUGGCGAAGGCGGCCCCCUGGACAGAUACUGACACUCAGAUGCGAAAGCGUGGGGAGCAAACAGGAUUAGAUACCCUGGUAGUCCACGCCGUAAACGAUGUCUACUUGGAGGUUGUGGCCUUGAGCCGUGGCUUUCGGAGCUAACGCGUUAAGUAGACCGCCUGGGGAGUACGGUCGCAAGAUUAAAACUCAAAUGAAUUGACGGGGGCCCGCACAAGCGGUGGAGCAUGUGGUUUAAUUCGAUGCAACGCGAAGAACCUUACCUACUCUUGACAUCCAGAGAACUUUCCAGAGAUGGAUUGGUGCCUUCGGGAACUUUGAGACAGGUGCUGCAUGGCUGUCGUCAGCUCGUGUUGUGAAAUGUUGGGUUAAGUCCCGCAACGAGCGCAACCCUUAUCCUUGUUUGCCAGCGAGUAAUGUCGGGAACUCCAGGGAGACUGCCGGUGAUAAACCGGAGGAAGGUGGGGACGACGUCAAGUC
rnacentral:rRNA from 1 species